rnacentral:tRNA from 7 species
GGCUACGUAGCUCAGUUGGUUAGAGCGCGGCACUCAUAAUGCCGAUGUCGCUAGUUCGAAUCUAGCCGUAGCCACCA